rnacentral:rRNA from 1 species
AGUGAACGCUGGCGGUAGUCCUAACACAUGCAAGUCGAACGGCAGCACAGUAAGAGCUUGCUCUUACGGGUGGCGAGUGGCGGACGGGUGAGGAAUACAUCGGAAUCUACUUUUUCGUGGGGGAUAACGUAGGGAAACUUACGCUAAUACCGCAUACGACCUACGGGUGAAAGCAGGGGAUCUUCGGACCUUGCGCGAUUGAAUGAGCCGAUUUCAGUUUAGCUAGUUGGCGGGGUAAAGGCCCACCAAGGCGACGAUCCGUAGCUGGUCUGAGAGGAUGAUCAGCCACACUGAAACUGAGAAACGGUCAAGACUCCUACAGGACGAAGCAGUGGGGAAUAUUGGACAAUGGGCGCAAGCCUGAUACAGCCAUACCGCGUGGGUGAAGAAGGCCUUCGGGUUGUAAAGCCCUUUUGUUGGGAAAGAAAAGCAGCAGGUUAAUAACCCGCUGUUCUGACGGUACCCAAAGAAUAAGCACCGGCUAACUUCGUG